rnacentral:tRNA from 1 species
UUAAAGUGUUUGAGUUGCAGUCAAGUGAUGUGGAUANGUAUUCUACAGGUCUU